rnacentral:piRNA from 1 species
UGUCACGUAUAUCAGAUGUGUAUCAGGA